rnacentral:lncRNA from 1 species
ACUGACAUUUAGUAGGAAUAUAAUAUAUACUUAGUGGAAAUUAAACAAGAUAUGACUUUCAUCCGGUGACAGCAGACUUCGGAAGGAGUAGGCAGUGAUCCUUUUUUGUUACUUUGUGAAUGUAUAUGAAACUUCAUAACAAAAGGACUCCCUUUAUUUGUUCUCUUCUCAAAUAUUUUUUAAGUAUUCUUGCAUGAAAUCAAGUAAGUUGAUUAAGUCUAAUUCACUUUGCCUAUCAAUUGUCUUAGGUAUAUGUUUUUCUCUGAUUGCAAAAAACAUUAAGUUUACAGUUUGAGAAAUGGUGCAAAUUAUAUAUUUUACAUCUAAAAUAAUACAUAUCAUAUUUUACUUCAAAGACCCAGCCUUUCAAAAUGCAAUAAUAGGAAAAAGACUGGGUACUCAUCCAUAUAAUUUUCCUAUUCAUGCUCUUGUUCCCUGUAGGUAGUUUUCCAUCAAGGAUUUUUUCCCUUCAGUCUGAAGAAUGUCUUGUAUGAUUAUGUGUUACUGUGUGGAUGGGAACAGAUAUUCUCCAGUUUGUUUCAUCUUUCUUUCAGUCUGGAAGGAGUUGGAGUUAAUGAAUUCUGUGUUGACUUUUCUUUAUUUCAUUAUUGGUAAAUUGCUGAUCCAUUUUUUUCACCACAGAUUGCCUGAAAAUGUAACUGUCAGAUUCCAGUGUCAGCUGCCCUUGAACUUGUAACCCAACCUGGCCUUGAACUUAUGGUGAUCCUCCUGCCUCAGGCUCCUGAGUGCUGGGGUUACAGGAGUGAGCCACCACACCUGGCUCCACAAAUGUCUUCAGACGUGAAUAAAAUAAGCGAUGCAUUUUCCCAAGCAAAAUAGUUUACUUUAAUUGUUAAUUUGAUGUAAAUUUUGACAUGCAUGAGAAAUUGUAUGAGAACAGAUAAAAUUUUGGUCAAACAAAAUGAAGGGAUGCAUGCUAAAAGCAAAAUAUUUUAUAUCUACUGUAAUUAUAUAAUAUUAGCAUUCAAGUGUGGCAAAUACAUCCUAAUUUGAACUGAUUUAUCUAAAUAGUACAUAUUUUAAUAAUUGUUAUUAGGCAAUAUGUAUAUAUUGGUGUGAAAAUAAUGUAUGUAUAUGUAUAAGCUUAGUAUAUGUGACAGUUUCCAUAUUUCAGAUAUUUGCAAAAUGAUAGAAUAUUUAACCAAUCAUACAUCAAACAAUUCAGAAAAUAAGUGAAAACAAGAACAAUAUAUUUCUGGUUUUCUAUAGCAAGAGAUAUGGCCAUUAUCUUCUAUGUUUGGCAGGGAUGCAAUAAUCUUCAGGGAAGUUGGAAAACUGUAGCAGAAAAAAUGGAAGGCUUUGGGGGCACCCUGGUAGUAUGUUUUUGGCAUGGUGAAGCUAGUCCUAGCCCAGCUAGAGGUGGAACAUUUUACAUGACUGACCAGGGGAGCAUAUUUGGUCCCCUCCACUUGGUCCUGAGUUAGAAACAGGGGCCACAAUGAAGUGUUGGCAGUCCUCACUGUUUGAGCCUGGUUACUGUAGAAUUUGUGGUUUGGCUUCAGUGGCUUCUUUCUGCAUAAGCUGUUGUUAUUUAUGGUCUAUUGAUUGUCGAUUUCUGGGGUGUUUCUUACAGUAGAUACAAAAAUAAAUGUACAUAGAAAAUUAAUAUAUUUAAUGUGAUUGACAAAUAUAACAUUUUCAAUAAAUAGUAAGCUUUUCUGUUAUCAUGAUACCAAAGAAAAAAUGAUACUGGGUUUGGGGAAAUUAAAGUGGUGUCUUUAAGCAAAUUUUAAAUUUUUCUUACCAAUUAUAAAUAGUAAUUUUCCUUCUAGAAUUGUAGUCAACAAAGCUACUUACAAAUAUGCAUAAAAUUUUGGUUAAUAAAUGGUGAGAAGUCUGUCUUUUGUUUUGGGGAUUUUUGUUUGUUUUUUUGAGACAGAAUCUUGUUUUGCAGUGCAGGCUGGCCUUGAACUCACUGUGUAGCCCACACUGGACUCAAACUCGUGUCAAUCUUCCUGUCUCAGCCUCCUCAGUUCUACGAUGAUAAGCGUGAGGCACAAUGCCCAGCUGAAAGUUCUGUUUUUUCAGUAAAUAUUGUUGUGUUCAUACAGUGAGAAUAUAGCUCUUACAUACUUGCAGAAGCUAUGUUCAAUUAAUAUUACUGAUGAAGAAAAACAUUUUAUUUCACAUGUAUGUGUACAUAUAUAAACAUAUCACAUAUGUCAGUGAAGCCAGGGCCUCACUUGUGCAGGACAAGUGCUCUACCAUUGAGUUGUAUCCCUUGCCUUUCUGUGUUUCAAAUAAGCAUUUAUCUUGGAUAGUUGUCUUCCUAUGCCUACGUUUUAAGGUAUAAAAUUUUCUUUAAAGGCAAAUAAUCUUCAGAAGAGUGGAUCAUAUUCAUUUUUCUUUGUUUAAUGUAUUUCUGUUAAAUGUUUUCAUUAAUUGCCCAGUUCCCAGUAUGUACUAGGUAUGGAUUAUGUGGUGGAGGUACAUUACUGAGGCAGAGCCUAGUGGAAAACACACAAGUAAAUAUGGCAUAUGCUAUAGCAUUGAAGUUUUGUAGUCAUUUUUAAAGGUACAGUAGUAGCUGGGCAUGGUAGCACACACUUAUAAUCCCAGCACAGGGAGGCUGAGCCAGGAGGGUCACAUGUUCAAGUCCCACCUGGGGAAUUUCAUGAGACCUUGUUUCAAAAUAACAAUAAAAAAGGAAUGGGGCCAGGGCCGUGAUUUAGCUCAGCAGCACAGUGCCUGCCUGGCAAGUGUGAGGUCUAGAGUUCAAAACCCUGUACCAAACAAACAAAAAAACUAGGAAUAAAGCUCAGUGUGACAUUCCUGUGUUCAAUCCCUAGUACAAAAUAAAUGAGCUACAUUGGUAACAAAAAUAUUGCUUAUAUCUCUUUGUGUUAUGAUUACUUGUUGCUCCAGUAAUUGGCAUAUAAAUCCUUUUUUUUUUUUGGUCUCCUUAUGAGAGACCUAAGUUAGCUUAGGAGACUCCAUUUUGUCUGAACUGCCCCAGUCCUGAUGGGAAAACUGUCCCCUGUGUGAACUCUGAAAAGGGGGGGAUCUUAUCUCACAUUUGUACUCCUGUGUGAUGUCUCAACACACGAGAUGUUCAUAUCUCAUGCCUAUACUCCUACUUUUAAUUGAUGCUUAAGGGUUUAGAUGCACAACCACAAGGGUGCAUAUGGAACCCACCCAUGAUAAAUAAUGGGAUGUGUUUAUCUGGUAACCCAGAGGUGCUAACCAUGCGUUUUUUCUUGUUUCUAUAGAUACACUUACUGCAAGGCUAGGGGAAGAGGGGAGGAGGAAAGGGUUUUCUUUAUAAAACCUGGCUGAAAGUUCAGUCCAGGGCCAGUCUUCUUGCAGGGAAUUUAGUCCCAGCUGGCAAUAAAGUUCUCUGUGGACUUUACAUUGUGUCAUGACUCAAGUGAUUAUCAUUGCUGGGGACUUAGGCCCAACAUUCUUGGAGGCCCCAGUGAGAUAGCCCUGAGCCAAUAGUCUUGGAGCCUUCUCUGCUGCUUGGGCCUUCUCUUGACGUUCUUGAGUCUGGGGAGCCCACCCCAAGGUGUUCUGGGCCCUGGGUCCAGCAGCCGCAGGUGGAGGCAGGCAGACUUGGACUCUACCACUGGGAACAGCCUCUAGAUGUAAGGAUCAAAUGGUCUUUUGGAUUGCACACUUAGUGGGUAGAAGGAGGUCAAAUGUGACAUCAACUCCUCUGCUCAGGGACUCAUUGUGACAGCAGGAGUUGCCCCUGGGUUUUGGUAGUGGUCCACAAAUUUUAGGUAGUUGUGUUUUUGGUGCCUUGUCAGUGUGAUCUCUGUUUUGUGUUUCUUUCUGUCCUUUCUUGUUGGGAGCAAUGGUACAUAAUUCUAGGGAUAAAUCAUUUGGUUAGCCUAGUUCUCUUGCCUACAGCCCAGCUACAGAAUAACUCCAGUUUGGCCUCCGGUCACAACUGAGACUUCAGUGAUCCAGUGAUGCUGUGAUUCUCCAGGACAAGAAACAUCCUGGGAGAACAAACAUCUGCUCAGUUCCUCAUUGUUCUUGGACUGAUGAACAUCUUGUUUGCCGGAGAUGUACUGAACUCUCUGCAAGCCUUCCGUUACACCUUGUUUAUCCCAAUGUGAACUAUUGAACCCUCUGCAAGUCAUUUGUUACAUUUGUUUCUCCCGAUGUACUGAAUAAAAGGUAUGGUAAGCUGGGGGCUUUUGUCUUUGCUGCCCNNNNNNNNNNNNNNNNNNNNNNNNNNNNNNNNNNNUUCUACCUUUGUAAUUUGCCUUGUGCUGCCGUGGCUCGCAGGAGACCAGGACUAACUGCAGAGGUUCUGGUAACGUCCCCUUCCCCUGUCCCCUACACUUUCUCCCACAGGACGCCAUGGGCAGCUUGGAGUCCAAGUCCUCUACUCCUUUCGAAUGUGUUCUAAUUUCAGAAAAAUCUGCACUCCAGAUAAAGAAAGUAAGUAUGGGACUAAAUUUUCUAAACAGAAAGCCUGCACCCUUUGUGAACUUGUAUGGCCUCCACUUGGGGAGGGGUAGCCUCAGCAGGGAACCUUCC